rnacentral:rRNA from 1 species
UAGCAAUACGAUGGAAAAUUUAGUGGCGAACGGGUGCUUAACACGUGGGCAACCUGCCAGGAAGUGGGGGAUAGCUCGCCGAAAGGCGAAUUAAUACCGCAUGUGAUUAGAGAGGACAUCCUUUCGAAAUUAAAGUCGGGGCAACCUGACGCUUUUUGUGGGGCCCGCGGCCUAUCAGCUAGUUGGUGAGGUAACGGCUCACCAAGGCUUUGACGGGUAGCUGGUCUGAGAGGACGACCAGCCACACUGGGACUGAGACACGGCCCAGACACCUACGGGUGGCAGCAGUCGAGAAUUUUUGACAAUGGGGGAAACCCUGAUCGAGCGACGCCGCGUGGAGGAUGAAGGUCUUCGGAUUGUAAACUCCUGUCAUUGGGGAACAAUGCACAGAUAUUAACUGUAUUUGUGUUGAUAGUACCCGAAGAGGAAGAGACGGCUAACUCUGUGCCAGCAGCCGCGGUAAUACAGAGGUCUCAAGCGUUGUUCGGAUUCAUUGGGCGUAAAGGGUGCGUAGGCGGCGCGGUAAGUCGGGUGUGAAAUCUCGGAGCUUAACUUCGAAACUGCAUUCGAUACUGCCGUGCUUGAGGACUGGAGAGGAGACUGGAAUUCUCGGUGUAGCA